CUGAAUCAGGCAUUCAUUCUUGGCAUUGAUAUGUAAGAUCCAUAAUUGCUGAUUGAGGAUGUGACAUUUCCAGAAAUAGCAGUUAGUGUAGCAAAGGACACAACACCGUUGGGAAGAUAAGUCAGAGGUGACAAGACCAUGCAGCUGCCAAAGAACAGGCAUGCCUUAGUACAUCAGUGUUAGACCUAACUGCAUUCAAGUGAUGUAGUCUUGAUGGACACUGAAGUCAAACUCUUUACUAAUACUGUCGUCUGAUUUCUGUGAUAUGCAUUGCCUGGGAUUAAUACUGGGGCUGUUACUGCUGCUUUUCAACCUGAUGGAAAGCAGCCAGAAUUAGAGCUGAGAAGAACACAGAGAACAGGCUGAACAUCCCCAGAUCUUUCAGGCUGUCCUUUUAAGAGAGGAUCAUUCUCUGGAUGUGCUCCAACAGGUCCAUGUCUCUCCUGUGCUGAGGACUCUACAUUUGGACACAAUACUCCAGCCUGUCUAGGUCCCUCUGGAUGGCAUCCUGUCUCUCCAGCAUGUCGACUAGACCCCACAGCGUGGUGUCAACAGCAAACUUGCUGAGGGUGUACUCAACCCAACUGUCAAUGUCAUUGAUGAAGUUAUUAAAAGAUUCAAACCUACACUUGAAUUCAUUUGAGAUAGUGUUUAUCCUCCUGACACAUCAACCAGUUGAACCCAGAAAAUAAAGGACAAGAAUUCCCCUUCUGAAGAAUGCUACAAGGGCUCUGGAAUAAUUGGAAUUUCAAUGUGUGGAUGAAAAGGAAAACCAUUGUAUAGGAGAUAGCUUAUUUUUUAACCUAUACACAGACUAUGGAAAUACAGACUAUGGAAGAGCUUGAGAAUGUAGGGAACACAAGUUUGAAUCCCCUGGUGUUAUGACAAGUCCUGAUCUGUCUAAUUUUAAGGAUGGAUACUUUUGAGAUGCAGGCUGAAUGCAAAUACAUUCCCUAUGUUGAGCCAAAACUGUGGGUACAUAUGUAUUCCUGCACAUUUAAUUGUAUUAUCCUUCUAAAUUGUUACAAUACUGAACUAAAAACGUAGAUAUUUGUACACAUGUCAAGGACAUUUUCAAAUUUUCUGUGAUGACAACAAUGAUAUUUUAUUUUUGUUACCUUAAUUUACAGACUCCUUUGGAGUCUCCUUUCCCAAUUUCAUCUUACAAACCAAGGCCACCAAGAAGUUAAAUUUCAAAUUUCAUUUGAAAAGAAAUAGGAAGAAAAUGCCACUCAAUCUGAAAACUGCUAUGGCCUGUCUUCUCCAAGCAAAUUUCAUGAAGUUAUAGUAUCUGUCCAAUUGCACUAUAGGAAAUCUAAAUUCAAGUCAUCCAAAAGGAAAUUAAUACUCAAAAUACCUGUGAAAUGUAGCAACUUUAGCACAGGGAAUACUAUAGAAUCAGAGAAUCAUCAAGGCUGAAAAUGACCACUAUUAUCAUCUAGUCCAAUUGUCAGCCAACUACCACCAUGCCCAAAAACCACUUCCCUCAGUGCCACACCCACACAUUUCUUGAACACCUCCAGGGAGAGUUACUUUGUCACAUCCUGGGCAGCCUGUUCCACUGCCUCACCACUCUAUCUGAGAAGAAAUUCUUCCUAAUAUCCAACCUAAACCUCACCAAGCACACUUUGUCUAGUGCCUCCAACAACAAGUAACAGUCAACACUUCUAAAGAGAAGC